GAUGAACGCUGGCGGCGUGCCUAAUACAUGCAAGUCGAACGGGGAGUAGCAAUACUCUUAGUGGCGAACGGGUGAGUAACGCGUUGGUACCUGCCCCGAAGCGGGGGAUAACGGACCGAAAGGUCCGCUAAUACCCCAUGUGCUCGGUAACGAGUAAAGGUGAAAACCACUUUGGGAGGGGCCUGCGUCCCAUCAGCUAGUUGGUAAGGUAACGGCUUACCAAGGCGAUGACGGGUAGGGGACCUGAGAGGGUGGCCCCCCACAAUGGAACUGAAACACGGUCCAUACACCUACGGGUGGCAGCAGUAGGGAAUAUUGGUAAUGGGCGCAAGCCUGAACCAGCAACGCCGCGUGUGCGAUGACGGCCUUCGGGUUGUAAAGCACUUUUGACUGGGACGAGGAAGGACGGUACCGGUAGAAUCAGCCUCGGCUAACUACGUG
rnacentral:rRNA from 1 species